GCUUGCUGGUAUGAUUAGUGGCGAACGGGUGAGUAAUGCUUAGGAAUCUGCCUAUUAGUGGGGGACAACAUUCCGAAAGGAAUGCUAAUACCGCAUACGUCCUAUGGGAGAAAGCAGGGGAUCGCAAGACCUUGCGCUAAUAGAUGAGCCUAAGUCGGAUUAGCUAGUUGGUGGGGUAAAGGCCUACCAAGGCGACGAUCUGUAGCUGGUCUGAGAGGAUGAUCAGCCACACUGGGACUGAGACACGGCCCAGACUCCUACGGGAGGCAGCAGUGGGGAAUAUUGGACAAUGGGCGAAAGCCUGAUCCAGCCAUGCCGCGUGUGUGAAGAAGGCCUUUUGGUUGUAAAGCACUUUAAGUGGGGAGGAAAAGCUAAUAAUUAAUACCUAUUAGCCCUGACGUUACCCACAGAAUAAGCACCGGCUAACUCUGUGCCAGCAGCCGCGGUAAUACAGAGGGUGCAAGCGUUAAUCGGAAUUACUGGGCGUAAAGCGAGCGUAGGUGGUCAUUUAAGUCAGAUGUGAAAUCCCCGGGCUUAACCUGGGAACUGCAUCUGAUACUGGGUGACUAGAGUAGGUGAGAGGGAAGUAGAAUUCCAGGUGUAGCGGUGAAAUGCGUAGAGAUCUGGAGGAAUACCGAUGGCGAAGGCAGCUUCCUGGCAUCAUACUGACACUGAGGUUCGAAAGCGUGGGUAGCAAACAGGAUUAGAUACCCUGGUAGUCCACGCCGUAAACGAUGUCUACCAGUCGUUGGGUCUCUUGAAGACUUAGUGACGCAGUUAACGCGAUAAGUAGACCGCCUGGGGAGUACGGCCGCAAGGUUAAAACUCAAAUGAAUUGACGGGGGCCCGCACAAGCGGUGGAGCAUGUGGUUUAAUUCGAC
rnacentral:rRNA from 1 species